rnacentral:rRNA from 1 species
UCUGUCCGAGCGUCGGCUUAUAAACUAUCACUGCGCCUAAUCAGCAGUGGCCUGGAAGAGUGCCAGCUAACGCGGGCCGUGUGCGUGUUGAGGUGGCGUUAGGAUGCGAUGGCUUCUUCUUAAUGUGGCUUUAGCGGCGGUGGCGAUGCCGUACUUACGGUCUAAUUGCCGGUUGCCAGGCGGGUCUGUUCCAUCAGUUAUGCUGCAGCGCCGUUUGUGCGUGUGUGUGUGUGUGUGUGUGUGCGUGCCACGCCACCACACACACCGCCGCCGCCGCCGCCGCUGUGGUGGUAAAAGCGCUCUUGUAACCACAUGGUGCCACACGCUGUGUUAUAGUGUGUGUGUGUGUGUGCGCACGUGGUGUGGACUCUUGUUGGCAGGUGGCGGCCGUAGUGGUGGGAAGUGUUGGUGUCGUCGUGGUCGUCGUUAGUGCUGUUGUUGCUUUGACGCGGCAUAAUGUGCCUGACCUCGGUUCAGUCGUGAG